rnacentral:rRNA from 1 species
CAGGAUGAACGCUGGCGGCGUGCCUAAUACAUGCAAGUCGAACGAGGCCCUUUGUAUUCGUACGAAGGUGUCCUAGUGGCGAACGGGUGAGUAACACGUAGGUGACCUGCCCCGAAGCGGGGGACAACUCCGGGAAACUGGAGCUAAUACCCCAUGUUUUCCAUGGUGUUAGAGGACCAUGGAACAAAGGAGCAAUCCACUUUGGGAGGGGCCUGCGGCCCAUCAGCUAGUUGGUAGGGUAAUGGCCUACCAAGGCUAUGACGGGUAGGGGACCUGAGAGGGUGGUCCCCCACACUGGAACUGAAACACGGACCAGACACCUACGGGUGGCAGCAGUAGGGAAUAUUGCACAAUGGGCGAAAGCCUGAUGCAGCAACGCCGCGUGCGCGAUGAAGGCCUUCGGGUUGUAAAGCGCUUUUCUGGGGGAAGAGGAAGGACGGUACCCCAGGAAUAAGUCUCGGCUAACUACGUGCCAGCAGCCGCGGUAAAACGUAGGAGGCGAGCGUUAUCCGGAUUUACUGGGCGUAAAGCGCGUGUAGGCGGUUAGGUAAGUCGGACGUGAAAGCUCCCGGGUCAACUGGGAGAGGCCGUUCGAAAUUACUUGACUUGAGGGCAGUAGAGGGAGGUGGAAUUCCGGGUGUACGGUGAAAUGCGUAGAUAUCCGGAGGAACACCAGUGGCGAAGGCGGCCUCCUGGGCUGACCCUGACGCUCAGACGCGAAAGCUAGGGUAGCAAACGGGAUUAGACACCCCGGUAGUCCUAGCUGUAAACGAUGCAGACUUGGUGUUGGCAGUUUAAACACUGUCAGUGCCGUAGCUAACGCGAUAAGUCUGCCGCCUGGGGACUACGACCGCAAGGUUAAAACUCAAAGGAAUUGACGGG